rnacentral:hammerhead_ribozyme from 1 species
AUCCAGUUGACGAGUCCUAAAAAGGACGAAACGCGUGUCCUGGAU